GCCGAGAUAGCUCAGUUGGUAGAGCACUUGUCUGAAGAACAAGGGGUCGUGGGUUCGAGACCCACUCUCGGCA
rnacentral:tRNA from 1 species